GUUGCUCAAAUCUUCACACACCUCUCCGUGGUGAGCAGCAGGCAACGGUUUUAUGACUGGCGGAGAUGUGAAG
rnacentral:ribozyme from 1 species